ensembl:lncRNA novel transcript
ACGCGGUCAGCUGUGUGAGACCUUGGCCCCCAGGCCUCUGGAUGCACUGGAUUCCCUGGAACAGUUAGCAGGACACAGGGCAAAGGCCUUUCUCCUUCUGUCGUGUGAGAUGCAGGUGAGUGCUGCAGGCCUGGAGUAGGGGAGUGUCUCCGUCAGAGAAACCAUGGAAGGCUUCCCAGAGGAAGCAGCGCUGGAGCUUUGAGGAAAAGUGGGGAGUAACCAGGGAGCCUCUUCAGAGUCCAAGUCACUCUUCAGAAUGACCCGGGCGCAAAAGACUACACCCAAAGAAAAGCUGGCUGCGUUCCCAGCCAGCUGAACUGCGGGCCGCCUGCCUCCUCAUCUGCGUUCCUGCCUCCCCACCUUUGUUUAGGCCAUUCCCCCACCCAGAAUGCCUUUCCAGGACAGAGCUUCUCCAACCUUAGUUCUGACUUUCUAAGUCACAGAGAACCACAGAGAGGCCUCCUCCAGGGACACCACCUGAGCCUCAGCACUUUGUAGCUGCCUCUUCAUCUCAGGCCAGUGUGAGCCGGGGUGAGGGCUCCAGCCCCCUUGGAGCGCCCGGCAUCAACCCCGUGUGCCGGGCAAGCUCCAGAAGUGUGUUGGAAGGCAGGGUCGAUAUUGCCGGCUUUGGGGGGAUGAGUCGAUAACGAUUGAAAGUGAGCAAAAUAUUCUCCUUUCUCUCCCUGUAAGGGGAAUUUGAAAAUCGGAUUUACUGGUUAAAU